GGUGGUGCAUGGUUGUCGUCAGCUCGUGUCGUGAGAUGUUGGGUUAAGUCCCGCAACGAGCGCAACCCUUGAGCUUAGUUGCCAUCAUUAAGUUGGGCACUCUAAGUUGACUGCCGGUGACAAACCGGAGGAAGGUGGGGAUGACGUCAAAUCAUCAUGCCCCUUAUGAUUUGGGCUACACACGUGCUACAAUGGACAAUACAAAGGGCAGCGAAACCGCGAGGUCAAGCAAAUCCCAUAAAGUUGUUCUCAGUUCGGAUUGUAGUCUGCAACUCGACUACAUGAAGCUGGAAUCGCUAGUAAUCGUAGAUCAGCAUGCUACGGUGAAUACGUUCCCGGGUCUUGUACAC
rnacentral:rRNA from 1 species